UACGGAGGGAGCUAGCGUUGUUCGGAUUCAUUGGGCGUAAAGGGUGCGUAGGCGGCGCGGUAAGUCGGGUGUGAAAUCUCGGGGCUUAACUCCGAAACUGCAUUCGAUACUGCCGUGCUUGAGGACUGGAGAGGAGACUGGAAUUUACGGUGUAGCGGUGAAAUGCGUAGAUAUCGUAAGGAAGACCAGUGGCGAAGGCGGGUCUCUGGACAGUUCCUGACGCUGAGGCACGAAGGCCAGGGGAGCAAACGGG
rnacentral:rRNA from 1 species